rnacentral:lncRNA from 1 species
CAGGGAAUUCACUUCUACUUUCUUCUCUUCCAAGGAGUAUCAUUCCUUUUAGUCGGUCUUGAUCUCGUCGGAGAGCAGAUGAGCUGAUACGAGUAAACAAAGAAGAAGGAAAGGAACUCAACUGCUUAAUUAUACAGCUGCACUUUAAUGGAGAAUAACAUUUAUUCACACAUUGAUACUAUAUCAUAUGUGAGUAUGCUUGUUCAGUUCAAGAAAUUAUAAUCCGAAUUCUGGUUCUUCAUCUUUGACACAUUAUACUGGAGGUUGCUAUCUCAUCUUGAACAAUAAGAUUAUGGAUAGGAUUCUGGUCAACAUUCUUCUUUCUCAAUCGAUAUUCUUGUAAAGCCAAGAACUCAGGGUUGGCUUCUCUUCCAGCAUAAAACCAUCUGUAAUUUUAAUUGUUAAUAGAGUUUGAUUUCUUUUUAGGUAUAUAUGAUUGAGCAACACUUUAUGUUUGAGCCGAUUCAGUCUGUUUCUGAAAUUAAGGAUAUACUCAUUUCUGAAUUGCCUUCAUGAAUCUGCUGAACUGCUGCUUUCCUACACUUCCUUUGCCUACCACUGAUCUGUGUCCUUUUUGUUCCUUGUUGAUGAUGAUGAUGACUGUCAAAUGGAUUUGGCCUUAGGAACUGUCGGCAGGGGCAUCGUCGGGUGUGAGGGAGUGUGUGGAAAAUCAAGGCAUUGGUUAGCACCUACCACCCCUCAAUUAUGUACUGAAUGAUUGAGGAGGGAGAAGGGUCCCAAAGCUGAAGCAUAUGGGCACAUUCACUGGAUCUCUUGGUCAUGCUCCAUGACAGAAUGCUGACAUCCCCUUGUUGUAAUGUUGUCAACUGGUUUAGAUGGCCAACAACCAUUCUUUAGCUGUGGAUUCUGGUCACUUGCCUGCUAGAAUAGAAAUCACCUCAUCUCUGUUCAGCUUCCUUGUGUUCUCUGGCCAUCGCUCGUCCUCGUUGCCACCGCUGUUGGACAUGGAUCUGUGUCGAUCCAGCAGGAAGUUGGAGACACUUCCAUUGUUAAUUUUUACAAGCUUGUAGCAAACUCAACUGAUGUUAACAGCACUAAUCCACUAUUUCAUUCUGCCAGCUUGAGGAGAUCAACUUGAGCUGCAUUCUGAUUCUGUAGCCAGUGAAGCCAAUGAUGAAAUGAACUUACAGAAUCUAGUCAUCUACUGCAUGCUAAUAUACAAUUUCAUCUUCGAAUGGACCGACUGUUGCAUUCAAGAUGUUAACUGAUAACAGUGC